UACGUAGGGUGCAAGCGUUGUCCGGAAUUAUUGGGCGUAAAGAGCUCGUAGGCGGUUCGUCGCGUCGGCUGUGAAAUCCCGAGGCUCAACCUCGGGUCUGCAGUCGAUACGGGCGGACUGGAGUUCGGCAGGGGAGACUGGAAUUCCUGGUGUAGCGGUGAAAUGUGCAGAUAUCAGGAGGAACACCGGUGGCGAAGGCGGGUCUCUGGGCCGAUACUGACGCUGAGGAGCGAAAGCGUGGGGAGCGAACAGG
rnacentral:rRNA from 1 species